rnacentral:rRNA from 1 species
UUUAUGAUGGGUAGGAGAGCUUUCUAUACGGAUUGAAGCAUUACCGUAAGGAGAUGUGGACUGUAUAGAAGUGAGAAUGUUGGCAUGAGUAGCGAGAUGUGGGUGAGAAUCCCACAGGCCGUAAACCCAAGGUUUCCAGGGGAAGGUUCGUCCGCCCUGGGUUAGUCAGGACCUAAGCCGAGGCCGAAAGGCGUAGGUGAUGGACAACAGGUUGAUAUUCCUGUACCACCAAUAACCGUUUGAGAAAUGGGAUGACACAGUAGGAUAAGCUAACCGCACUGUUGGUUAUGUGCGGGCAAGUAUUGAGGCAGUUCWRRUAGGCAAAUCCGYCUGAAUAAUGCUGGGGUACGAUGCGGAGCGAAAUUUAGUAGCGAAGUAGCUGAUUUCACACUGUCGAGAAAAGUCUCUAUCGAGGUUAAAGGUGCCUGUACCGCAAACCGACACAGGUGGGUGAGGAGAGUAUCCUAAGGCCAGCCAGAGAACUGUUGUUAAGGAACUCGGCAAAAUGACCCCGUAACUUAGGGAGAAGGGGUGCCAUGGAAACAUGGCCGCAGAGAAUAGGCCCAAGCGACUGUUUACCAAAAACAUAGGUUUCUGCUAAGUCGCAAGACGAUGUAUAGGAGCUGACGCCUGCCCGGUGCUGGAAGGUUAAGGGGAUCUGUUAGGGAAUUGUAAUACCGGUGAAGAUGCCGGUUACCUGCGACAGGACGGAAAGACCCCAUGGAGCUUUACUGUAGCUUGACAUUGAGUCUCGGUGCUACAUGUACAGGAUAGGUGGGAGGCUAUGAAGCAUGGACGUCAGUCUGUGUGGAGCCAUCCUUGGGAUACCACCCUUGUAGUACUGGGAUUCUAACCAGCUGCCUUGAAUCAGGUAGUGGGACACUGUCAGGUGGACAGUUUGACUGGGGCGGUCGCCUCCUAAAGAGUAACGGAGGCGCUCAAAGGUUCUCUCAGUACGGUCGGAAAUCGUACGUAGAGUGUAAAGGCAGAAGAGAGCUUGAUUGCAAGACAUACAGGUCGAGCAAGGACGAAAGUCGGACUUAGUGAUCCGGUGGUACCGCAUGGAAGGGCCAUCGCUCAACGGAUAAAAGCUACCCUGGGGAUAACAGGCUGAUCUCCCCCAAGAGUCCACAUCGACGGGGAGGUUUGGCACCUCGAUGUCGGCUCAUCACAUCCUGGGGCUGUAGUAGGUCCCAAGGGUUGGGCUGUUCGCCCAUUAAAGUGGUACGCGAGCUGGGUUCAGAACGUCGUGAGACAGUUCGGUCCCUAUCCGUCGCAGGCGUAGGAAAUUUGAGGAGACCUGUCCUUAGUACGAGAGGACCGGGAUGGACGUACCGCUGGUGUACCAGUUGUUCUGCCAAGGGCAUAGCUGGGUAGCUAAGUACGGAAAGGAUAAGCGCUGAAAGCAUCUAAGCGC